GUGAAGCCCCACCUCUGCUGCGCGCAGCCUGCGGUGCGGGUCAUGGCGCGGCUACCGAAGCUGGCAGUCUUUGAUUUGGGUGAGGGACGGGAAGGGGAGAAUUUCGUAAGAUUACACUCUCUGGCCUUUCUGGGUCGACACGCACGUAGACCCUCCGUUCCAUAAGAGCAGGUGAGGUAGGGACAGGGAAGACUGGGGGCGAGAUAGGACCCAGCCAGGGCUGAGCGCACUCUUGCCCUCUCCAGUGAUGGAACUGUACGAGAUAGGCGGGGCCAAGACGUCCGACUGUACCCAGAGGUGCCUGAGGUCCUAAAACGAUUGCAGAGCCUUGGGGUGCCCGGUGCGGCUGCUUCAAGGACAAGUGAGAUAGAAGGGGCCAACCAGCUACUGGAGCUCUUUGACCUCUUCAGGUACUUUGUUCAUCGGGAAAUCUAUCCAGGCAGCAAGAUCACACACUUUGAGAGGUGUUACCUGCAUUCACAUCCAGAAUGGAAUGAAUCUUCAAACUCUAAGUCAAGGGUUAGAGACAUUUGCGAAGGCCCAAACUGGGCCUUUGAGGUCCAGCCUUGAGGAGAGCC
rnacentral:lncRNA from 1 species